AAUUACUUUCCUUUUACGAACAUCUGAGCACAUUUCAUACCAUUUUACUGCAUAGUCUAUGUUCAAAUCUAGCUUUAUACUAAUUCAAAAAAGUUCAGUUAAAUUUUCUACGCAUAGGUGAAUUAUGAACUAAAGUUUCUGAGAAAUUAACAAAAUUUACAGAAGCUCGAAUGGACGAAAGUUUUAAUAAUUGGCGCAAUUCGCCGUCUACCAAGAACAGUCAAUCCGUUCUUAUUUCCGACAGUGAUGAAGAAGAAGAUAAUGUUAAAACUGCUGAGAAAGAGCAGAUCUAUGUGAUUGAAAGUGAUGAAAGUAGUCUAAGCGCGUCUAGAAAUGUAACACCAACAAAAAAGUCUAACUCUGUGUCAUCUAGAAAUUCAUCGUUAACAGAAGAAGCAGUGAAACAUAGAAUUAAAAAGUAUAUUUUAUAUGACUCAGAUAGUACAGGUGUUCCCAAUGAAAAUGAUUCUUCAUCAUCUACUCACAGUAGAACUGAUGACACAUAUGAGGAUAGUUCAGAUGAUGAGACCGAAUCAGAAGUGGAAAAGAAUAAAAAAAGAAAGAAGGGAGGACUCCAACGUAUUCAAGCUGGUGCAUCUAAUAUAUUUGAAAAUUCUACUAUGGACGAAGAAAACAAUUCUGAAACUGCAAUAUCUAUAGCAAAACAAGAGAUUGGUGUUGGUAAUAUAGAUCCACUGGUUGCACAAGAAAGAGCUCUUCUUGCUUGUAAAAAGGAGCAAUUGAGAAAUCAGUUGAGUAAGGCACAGUUGCUACUUGAUACUGGUAAUGUCGACUUACUGCCGGAUAAGGGAGAAAAGUUGCGCGAGAGCAUUGCGAUGCAAAAAAGGGAAUUAGAAUUAAUUACAGCUGAACUGGAACGUACACCUUUAACGGGAACUGUAUCGGUUAAAACCGACUCGGAAGAAAUAUUUCCUAUCAAUAAAUAUUUACCAAAUGCGACAGCAAAUUUGUCUUCAAGAGAAUUUGGGAAAAAGGCACAAGCAACAUUAGAAAAAGAGACAGCUUUAACAGCUGAUAGACUACAAGAUUUACAUGGAUCUAUUGUAGCUAGACCGUCCGAAAAUGAGAGAGCAGAAGAUCCACAGGGUUUGAAUGUAAAAUUAAUGCCGCAUCAACAACACGCGUUAGCGUGGUUAACGUGGAGGGAGCAACAAAAACCACCCGGAGGUGUUCUUGCUGAUGACAUGGGUUUGGGCAAGACAUUGACAAUGAUAUCUCUCAUCUUAGAUUGUAACGCUAAGAAGAAUGUUCAAAAGAUGGACGAAUUUGACGAUGACGAAUGGACGGAUAAUUAUAAGCCGUUACGACAUAAAGGAGGUACACUUGUGGUUUGCCCAGCGUCUUUGUUGUCACAAUGGGAAAAUGAAAUACAUCACAAAUGUAAAAGGCGUAUGCUUUCUGUGGUAGUUCAUCACGGUACUAAUCGGGAAAAUGUACCAAAAAGAUUAGCAAAACAUGACGUGGUUAUUACAACGUAUAAUAUACUAGCCCGUGAAUUUAAGACCAGAUCCACGGUAUACAAGAUUCAUUGGGAAAGAGUAAUACUAGACGAGGCACACAUAAUCCGAAAUCAUAAAAGUCAAGGAUCCCAAUCAGUUUGCGAGCUGGUGGCAAAUAAACGAUGGGCUCUUACUGGAACACCGAUUCAAAAUAAGGAGAUGGAUUUGUAUUCUAUUUUGAAAUUUCUCAAAUGUUCUCCUUUCGAUGAUAUACGCGUUUGGAAACGUUGGGUAGAUAAUAAAAAUGCCGCUGGUUGUCAGAGAUUAGCAACCGUGAUGAAAGCAUUGAUGUUACGUAGAACGAAACAAGAGCUUCAAGCUAGCGGUGCGUUAGACUGUUUACCAGAGAAAUUUAUUGAAGAAGUAUUUGUAGAACUCGAUUCCCAUGAGCAGUUGGUGUACGAAAAAGUUCUCGUCUUUUCUCGUACAUUGUUCGCUCAGUUUUUGGCUCAAAGAGCCGAGAAAGAGCAUAUGUUUGAUUUAGCAGGUGGAAAAUACGACAGGCCAACUUUUCUUUCAAAUCCAAAUAAGAAUACUCAGUUUACCAAAGCCCAAAAUAAGUUAUUGUCGUUACACGCUGACGUUAAAACGCACGAAAUCUUGGUUCUCUUACUGAGAUUACGUCAAAUUUGUGUUCAUCCUUCUCUUAUUCAUUCGAUGCUGGACCAAGAAGAUAUGCAAGAGAACGGAAUAACUGAUCCAGAAAAUUUAGACCCUGGCGUGUUGAUGCAACUAAAUAAUAUAACGUUAUGUGAUGACGAUGGGGAUGCGAAUGAUGAAAAAGAUACUGGCGUUGAUCACAGAGUAACCAAUAAUUUACUCACGUCUAAAAAUCCUGUUUUCAAGUCUAACCGUGUCAGUUCUAAGAUGAAAGCGGUGCUCGACACGGUAGCAGAAAUUUUACAGACAGACGACAAAAUGAUCAUUGUUUCUCAAUGGGCAACCGUCUUGAAUAUUGUUGCAUCUUGUUUGUCUUCGGUAAAAGGUGCAACUUUCAGUAUGUUCACUGGCAACGUGCCCAUCAAAGAAAGACAGGGUAUAAUGGAUUCGUUUAACGUUCCGAAUAGCAAUCCAAAAAUAUUGUUGUUAUCGCUCACUGCAGGAGGUGUUGGAUUAAAUCUAGUAGGAGGAAAUCACUUACUGUUAAUAGAUAUCCAUUGGAAUCCACAACUGGAAGUACAAGCUCAGGACAGGAUUUAUCGGUUUGGACAAAGAAAGGAUGUUCAUAUAUAUAAGUUUAUUUGUAAGAAUACGAUAGAAGAGCGUAUAAAGCAGUUGCAAGAAAGGAAAAUAGAAAUAGCUCAGAACGUUCUAACCGGUCACAAAAACACUGGCGCCUCGAAACUUACGUUCAACGAUCUCAAAUCUCUAUUCGCUCUCUAAAAGAAAAGGAUAGAGAAGAAAGGCGUGUCAUAUAAGUCUAGGAAACUCGGCAUUUUACCAUGCUUCUUCCUUAACGUAUCCGUUAUCGUUUACUUUCGUGACUUUUAUCCUUCUCAUUUUACUGUGCCAAAUGCCGUAACAGAAGUAUAUACCAAGACCUGCAAGAAAAGAAAGAGGACCAUUUUGUUUCUAAUACGAUCCAUUUCACGAGCAUUGAUUUUUUCUAUCUUACUCACCGAUUAUCAUCCAUAUCGAAAAUCGUAGCCACGUCAUUUUAUCCAACAUCAUCAUAAGAUAAAUAUUAAUAAGAAUACUGAGCGCAGGUAAAAAUGGCACCAGCGGAACCUAGAAAGGCACACAAUCAACUUUGUACGUCUUCAUGAAAUACAUGUCUUUAAGGAGAGACGAUACAUACCGAAAAUGCAAGCUUUUGGCCAGAAGUCGGUUGUAGAUAAAUGAAACAAAGAACAACCAGUAAAAGGAUUAUUAAAAGUGCUAACGGUACAACGAUCGUACUUUUACCGCUCACGAUUUCGUUGGUGUACAUCGAAGCCAUAAAACCGAUGCAGAUACAUAACAGGACUGUAAAGUAAAUAUCAUUUGAUAUACAAUGUCCGAUAGAAAAAGAAUGAUUCGAUAAUGAAACAGAAGAUAGUUUACCAUAACACCCGACUAAUAUCGUAACGAUUUGAGACGUUAAUUUCGUGGAGUGUUUCAAUUUGUUAGCAUUAAUUAACUGCUUCGCGAUGAACGUCAAGGUUCUCGGAUCAAGAUUUUCCUUCUUCUCGUACGCUUCGCUUUCCUCGUAUCUGAAACGAGUAAGAAAACGAUGUUCCAGGAUAUCGUUAAGCAAGCCGGUGACAUCGAUAUUUACCGCAAUAUAAGUACGCAAGCCGCAACGAUCGAAUAGGCGAGCAAGGUCCCGAUACUCAUCAUGUUUACCAGUUGAGUCAAUUCAAAUAUCGCAGCCAGUACACCUGCAAGUACAUGUACUUAUUCGUACGUUUACAGAAUCGAACAGGAUCUAUACGUUGAUACAAACCCGUAAGAAUUCCCGCGGAGAAGGUGCCCAUGAUCGGUGUGUGGAAUCGAGAGCUAACUUUUCCCAUCCAUCCGAAUAUCAAUCCAUCGGAAGCCAUCGCGUAAAUUACUCGUGGUAAAGGGAACAUUGCGCCUAAUAAGCUGAAACAGCGAUAUACGAAUAUACGAAAUUUUUAUUUCUCUUGGAUCUUGACAAUUGUUUUAUUACCUGGCGCAUAAACCGCAGAUGGCACCUAUCGUAACUACCCAUUUUGCCCAGCUCCAUCCGAUUCUAUCGAAGAGAUAUGGAAAGGGGGCAUCCGGAUUCUGUUCGUAGUAGGGUAAAACGGUGGUCAAGAUCGUCGAUACGCCAAAAUACGCGAGAAAAACGACGGUGAGCGAGGCGACGAUUGCAAUAGGGAUUGAUCUUUGUGGAUCUUUUGCUUCCUCGCCGGUAGUGGCGACGCAAUCGAAACCGAUGAAUCCGUAAAAGCACGUAGCUGCUCCCGUUAUGAUACCCGCGAUACCAUAUGGCGCGAAUCCUCCGCUUCCGUAAUCGCACUUUUCUUCCGUACACGUGGGCUUCGUUUUCCAAUUCGUUACGUCAGCUUCGUUGCACGUAAUCAUUUUCGAUUAGUUAUCUUUUCAAUUCAUCUCGUAUUCAACAAAAGUCUUACCUUGAAAGGAUCCGGCGAUUAUUACAAAAAGUACCACCGACAGAUUCACUACGGUGAAAAAGUUGUUGGCCAACGAAGACUCCUUAGCUCCGAACGCCAAUGCGGCUGAAACGAAACAAACGAUCGUUUCAAUUCGAUUGAUUAAAUUGAAAAUGAACAUUUUUCAACGAAGUGCAGCAAAAGCGAAUCGCCGAUACAUUCGUCUUCUUACCAGAGAAGAUCAAAGUUACUCCAAAGGCGAAAAAGUCUGGAUAAGAGGAGAAAUAGCUGAUGUCUAUAUGCGCCGCGGAUUGAAACGCGUUUCUCAUAGUAUUGUUGAAUAAAGCAUCCACGUAAAUGCUUAGUCCCCGCACCACGCUAGCCGAGCCAAUUACAUACUCUAGGAUUAGAGUCCAACCGAUGAGAAAGGCAGUAAACUCCCCCAUUGUUACGUAGCUGUAUACGUAAGCCGAUCCAGCACGUGGUACUCUUGCACCGAAUUCAGCGUAACAUAAGCCUAAAUAGAAGAAAAAUUGACGAAGAAGAGGCACAGAUACUUGAAUAUAUCACAGGAAUAUCGUACCUGCGAACAUAGAUGCGAUCGCAGCGAUCGCGAAAGAGACUAUCACAGCGGGACCAGCCGUGUGUUUCGAAACCGAUCCCGCCAGAACGUAGAUACCGACGCCCAGCGUCGAGCCGAUUCCAAGGGCCGUCAGGUCCAGGGUGGAUAAACAUCUGGCGAGUUUCGUGUCCUGAGACGGUGUCACGUCUUUUUUACGACUGAACGCCUUGCACAGACUUUGAACUUUCCAACUUUUCAUGUUGUACAACUGAAAGAAACCGAUUCUUUAUCGAACACCGAGAAACGUUUGGCGGAAACCACUAAUCGUGAGAGAACAAAAUAGUUAACUGGAAAACACCGCCGCAUCGUGGUAUCUUUAUCGUUUGCUCACCAUGCGUUGCACGCUUAAAGAAGAAUCCAUUUUCCCCGAAGCUGUCAACAAGGAGUACUAUGAACGAACGAGACUACACUUGUGAACAUUCGGUUCCCGACUAAAGGAGCGGUAAUUAAAAUCUCUUUAAAUCAAGCUCGAAGAUUGCUUAUGUCGCGAGCUAGCUAAACCGUUCAAUUGGUCGGACUCGUUUCGUCGUCGCAAAUUGAUUAGAACCGUUCAGUCUCGUUUAUAUCGGUCAUCUGCUUAUAAUAAGUUGAUCUUAACUAUCAACUUUCGAUCGUUUCAUCGAAAUUCCGAUAAUUUAGUAGCCAAUAAGUGUUCAGAUAGCGUUUCCUUGCCUUUCUUGAGAUUCGAAUCAAACGCGACCAAUUACAUCUCUAUACGAACGUGUUUUCACUUUCUUAUCAUUCUCUUUCAAACAUUCUUAUCCUCUCCGAACGGUAUCGAUCAUUCCGUUUCGUUGCGAUCUCAUUCGAUACGAACCCUGUUCGUGUGCGCGUAACUUUAUGCAUCGGUUACGAAGAAAAUCGUUUCGAUCAGGGUGACGUCAACUCUUUAUACAUAUUUGUUCAAUCUAUCAAUCGUACGUUAGUAAAUUUACUACAUGUUUGUAGAUAUGUAUUUAUUCUCCUUUGGCGUAUCAAUUAAACGCGCAUACACACCAAGUAUCCUAAACCAUGUACAUAGAGAGGGUCACAAAAUUAUUCGCUCGCCGUUUAAAACAGAAUACUUCAUUUUAAAUUGGACCAAAUGACUUGAAGCUUUUUGAGAAGCUAUAAAAAUUAAUUUACUAACGUGACUAGUUGUUCUUAGGUGAAAAGUCGCGAUUUUCGGAAAUUUCAAUUGCUUGUAACUUCUAAGAGCAUUGACCGGUAUCGAUGAAAUUACGAAAGAUAUAUUUUAAUUACCCUUCACUACUUUUUUUCACGAUUUCGACAAACUGUAAUUUUUUAAAACAGCAAAAGAACAUACCUUAGUAAAUUCUCAAAAAGCCUCAGGUCAUUUGGUCCAAUUUUACAUGAGGUAUUCUGUUUUAAACGGUGAGCGAAUAAUUUUGUGACCCACUGUACAUAGGAAAAUAAAAUACUCGUAAUUUCUUGUUCGAACAUAAAAGGCGCGCGAAAAAAACCUACAUCCUCGUUGCACGUACUAUUUUAGCCGAUAUCGUAUUGUGCCAAUUGCAACAGAAAACAUUGUUCGAUACUUACUUGAUUAAAUGGAUUACGUUGCGCGGAUUUUUCUUCGUUCAAAAUGGAUUUCAAGCGUCACCAUCGAGUACAAUGGGAAAUUGUCGCCUAACAACUUCAUUCUUCGUUCCGCUUAUCUAUCUAGCUAUCAGAUAUCUUAAAGUUGCAAGGCGAUACAUAAUCCCCCAUGGAAGACGAUACGUUACCAUCUGGCUUUUAAAAAUCGUUAUCUUUCCUCGUAACCAUCGGUUAAUAAUAUAUUAUUAGUUAUUAGACGGUGGACGCUGUCAUAUUCGUUGUUGCUAAACGCAGUCAACGAAUACGAUUAAGAUCCAAGAGUUUUGCAAAUUAAAAACAGUUUAUUAGGUGGCAAAUAAAAAAGUAUAUAUUCUUUUGUAAAAAGCUAUUUACAUGUAAUUAUGUAUAUAUGUUACACAUAGUAUUAACAAGUAAAAAAUAUUCGUAGUACAUUCGUGGACUAAAAGUUUAAAAUGUAUAAAAAUUUCAUAUUGGACGGAUUAUGGAAUAUCAGGUUCAUCUCCUCUUUUCUUCUACGUUCUCUUUACCGCUAUGCCAUACAAUUCAUACUGGUGAUACAUGUAUGGUGUAUGCCGUAAGCGAUGCUUCCGAAUACGUUAUUAACGUAUGGGGUGUCAUAGUUUCAUCAGUCUCUAAUUAAUAUCUGCUAUUUUACGCUACUGUUUGUUGAUCAUACUCCAUAAAUUGUAUAGAAAUAUCGAAACGAUGGUUACGACCUGCCAAUGCGGACGUACUUCCUCUGCAGCAGACUGAAACAAAAUGAACAUUGUAUAUUUGCAUACAGUUUAAGCUACAAAAUCAAAGCUUUAACUCACUAUAGCAUAAUAAUUGCACUUGUCCCCUUGACAGCAAUCAGAACACUGCCAAUCUUGGUACCAUAUAUAUGUGCAAUCAUCCAUGUUAGACUGUUUUGUUCUUUCACACUCCUUUUUAGUGGAACACAUCUUGGAGACGUAAAAUUGUUUCUUUGCACCUGGUGACCAAUACGGGGUGCCUGCAAGAACGAACAAUAAUAUGAACAACUGAAUUGAACACUCAUUUUUCCACUCGUUGCUCUUACUAACGAUAUAAACAUAACCUCAAUUAUUACACUGGGUAAUCGUACAACUUAUUUCAACAAAGAGAAACUUACUUCCCCAUCUAAUCAUUGUUAAACAAGCAUCUUGGCCUUGCUCGCAGGUUUUUGUACUUUUCAGACACUUUUCUCUGUUACCUUCUUGAUUGGUACAAACGUAGCAUUCCAGGGCGUGGUCUAAAAACAUUGAUAAAUAAGUAACCGUACACGACAAAACAAUAUUUAUUCAACUUACUAAGCGUUAGACAGCAUGUCAUCAGGAUCGUCCAAUAAAUUAUUAAAGAGUUCAUGUUGGAAAAAUUUAUUAGCAACGAUAAUAAUACAACGGGGCGCGCGCUACGCCACACAGUGAUGCAAAAUCGAAUGGAAUGAAUCAUAUGGUUCGUAUCGUUGGCACCACUGACGAUCUAAUCGAGUAUAAAAUUCAAAAGAUCUCGAAUCGAUUACAUUGGAAGAACGAGAGCAGAAUUGAAAUAUUAAUGAAAAAAGUGGAUAUUUAUUCCGCUUGUUUCAGUGAUUUUGACACUUUCAUCUUAUGACGUGGACGUUGCAGAUGUUAUUACAUAAUUGGCGUACACUUAACAGUCACGACGAAUCGAACUUGGAAAUGUGUUUCUAAUUUAUUGAAUUCAUUAUAAGCAGUUAUGAAAAUCAACUCGUUAUCAAUUAAUGUGCAUAUGGAACAUGAACGAACGAGCUUAAAAAUAACCGACAGCAGUAUCGUCGACUGACGUCUUCAAAUUACACAAGCUGCUCAUUUCCCUAACAAUCGACUAUCUGGGUUUGAGUUAAGGAGACUUGGAAUUUGAAGGUGAAAAACGAAGAGUAAAGGAAAGGGAAAGGACGAAGAGUUGGAGUAUGCGGACAAUGAUGCGUCGAAAGAUAAAAUUUCAAGGGUUAAUGAAGAACAAAAGAGGUCGCAUAAACAAAGUAAGCAGGUGAGAAAGGAAGAAAGGAGAAAAGAAAGAAAAGAUGCGAAGGAAAGGUUAGUUGGUUGAUGCAUUCGUUCUCCCCUCUCCGUAUAAUCUGAACUCUGUCGAGGUUUUGGUCAGGUCGGCGCGUGUUCGCGAUUCUCGCGGUCGUCGAAUGUCGAUAUUCGAGUGCGCGGUGCAGGCUGAGCAGUGGCAGUGUCGAGCGUACUGCGCCGAGAAUCUAAAAUUAUCAGCCGAUUCGAGAGAGGGGUAAAGCGAAUAGGUAUGCAGAAAGAGAAAAAGGGAGGGGUAGCAGGGUUGGGGAAAUGUUGCAAGAAAGAAUAGUGGUUGAAAAAAAAAAUAGAUAAAUAAAAAUAAAACAGUGGAAAAAAGAUGAAAGAUGUUUCGCCUAAGAGAAAUAAAAAAAAAGGCAGUACAAAGAUCCUAAAGUUGGACAGGACGGUACGAUAGUUGGAUAAGAGGGUAA